rnacentral:ribozyme from 1 species
ACUGCUCAAAAUUCUGCAUACCUCUUUGUGGUGAGCAGUAGGCAACACAGCAAUAUGCCGUGGACAAGAAUACAGAG